UGCGGUGGUGCUCGUGCUGGUACGGGCCGACGGUUGUUACCCGUCUCGACGCAGGUUCGAUUCCUGCCGCCGCAG
rnacentral:tRNA from 1 species